UGGUGCUGUUCGAUGCCUUAUCUACAACCUGAGGCUCCCUCGUCGUCUUGUUCGUGCCGCUCCCUCGCCUCGCCCUCCCCCGGAUCCGGAGCUGAGCUCCCUACGGUGGCACUCCCUUGCCUCUGCUACCUCGCCUCGCCAUCGCCCGGAUCCGGGGCUCCCGGUGGCGGCGCUCCGUCGUGUCGCGCUCGCUCGGGUCCCGGGCUCCCGGCGGCGGCGGUCGCCUUGUCUCUCCCGGGUCCGGGGCUGCCGGCGGCGGCGCUCCUAGGCCGUCGGCGGCGCGGGCGGCAACAGGCUGCUGGCCGGGUACCUGGCGCACGAGUUCCUACGGCGCAGCACGCUCCUCGGCGAGCGGAGGCUGCAGCCGUCGGGGCGGAAGGAGAAGGAACCCGCCCUUGCCGUCCCCGCGCCCGAGCCGAGCAGGCGCUACGCGGAGGUUUCGCGGCUGCUCAUGGCGGUCGGGGCCCGCAUCCCCGGCGUUGUCAACCCGUCGCAGCUCGGCCGCCGGCUCCGGAUUAAGGAGUGACCGGCCGGCCAUGCCGUGAGACCGCAGGAGCAACGCGCGGAGGGGCGGCAUUGCCUGCUGGUUUGCCUCGCCUCCCCUCAGCGGCCGCGCUCUCUGCCCUCCUCGGCGGACGACCAACCCGAAGAACAGCGGAUGCUUCUGCACACAGCAAGCGGGUCUCUCAUCUCGAUCCGUGCUUCUUCCCUGUUUCUUUGAGCAUUAAAAGACUGCGUCUGUUGCCAUCUUGGGUUCUCCAAAUUUGCAGACGUUGGACCGAUGGUGCCUAUUCAGGGUUAUCUUGUUGUCCAAUUGCGACAGAACCUGUGAUCGGAAACUUUCUACUUCUACUGGACAGCUAGAACAUUACUGAUGAAAACGAGCAGAAAGCUUAGGUGAGAAUUGAUUCAAUAUGAUAAUUUUGGCAUGGCAACUUUAUAGGAGUAUUAACCUCUAUUCCUCGCUCCUCAAUGGAACACAAUAAGGCAAUUUAAGUUUGUCACAACAAACUUUAAACAGAAAAAGGUAUGAAUGUGAUCUCUGUAUAUACAAUAAUUGAUACUUUCAGAUGUUGUGGAGAAAAAAAUAGAGACAUAGUGCACACUACACAUUCAUUACAUGCUAGUUUUUUUUAGACCUAGGCUAGCAGUAUUUUUUCCUUUUUCGGAUGCUUUGGGAAUUAAUCCCAAUUCUAGGAACACACCCCAAAUUCUCAGACAUUGCCAUGCCAGGGACCCAAACAUUAACCAUCAAUAAUUCUAGUUGCGAA